rnacentral:tRNA from 1 species
GGGGAUGUAGCUCAAUGGUAGAGCGUCGGCCUUCCAGGCUGAUGAUGUCGGUUCGAUUCCCACCGUCCCCU